GUACGGCGAAUUGCAAAAUAACAACUUUUGUCUGUACGGCGUCUUGCAAUAUAUUAUAAUUUUAAGAGGAAAUUAAUCACUGUUUAGAUAAUAUCAAGUGACGAUAUUUUGUUGAUAUCAAAGCUUUACAGGCUUACAAAUAUACAAAAUGUCUUACUUAUCAAAUAUUAUUAAAUAUAUGCCGUUAAUUCAGUUCAGAAGGCCUCGUUGCGUACCGCUUUUCGAUUUUGUACAAAAAGGUUUUUUCAACCAUAUUAUCCUAAAUACAUUUAUAUAUCGUUAUACUACUAACG
rnacentral:lncRNA from 1 species